GCCCUGAUGCAGUUUAUAGCUCAGUUGUCAGAGCGUGAGGCUCUUAACCUCAGGGCCAUGGGUUCGAGCCUCACGUGGGGCA